AUCGCUUCUCGGCUCUUUGAGCUAAGAUCAAAAGUGUAGUAUCUGUUCUUAUCAGCUUAAUAUCUGGUACAGUCCCCAUAGGGGACUCAGUAUAUUAACCUGAUUUUUGAAACGAGGUGGGUGUUUACGGGGCUUGCUCCGUCCCCACUACGGGUCGACCCGAUAUUGCAGUAAUUUCGGGUCUGGCCUUAUAAAU